CCCCAGACUCCUACGGGAGGCAGCAGUGGGGGAUAUUGCACAAUGGGGGAAACCCUGAUGCAGCGACGCCGCGUGAGCGAUGAAGUAUUUCGGUAUGUAAAGCUCUAUCAGCAGGGAAGAAAAUGACGGUACCUGACUAAGAAGCCCCGGCUAACUACGUGCCAGCAGCCGCGGUAAUACGUAGGGGGCAAGCGUUAUCCGGAUUUACUGGGUGUAAAGGGAACGUAGACGGCUGUGCAAGCCAGAUGUGAAAGUCCGGGGCUCAACCCCGGGACUGCUCUUGGAACUGCGCGGCUGGAGUGCAGGAGGGGCAGGCGGAAUUCCUGGUGUAGCGGUGAAAUGCGUAGAUAUCAGGAGGAACACCGGUGGCGAAGGCGGCCUGCUGGACUGCGACUGACGUUGAGGCCCGAAAGCGUGGGGAGCAAACAGGAUUAGAUACCCGAGUA
rnacentral:rRNA from 1 species